rnacentral:rRNA from 1 species
GAUGAACGCUGGCGGCGUGCUUAACACAUGCAAGUCGAACGGUGAACACGGAGCUUGCUCUGUGGGAUCAGUGGCGAACGGGUGAGUAACACGUGAGCAACCUGCCCCUGACUCUGGGAUAAGCGCUGGAAACGGCGUCUAAUACUGGAUACGAGUAGCGGCCGCAUGGUCAGUUACUGGAAAGAUUUUUUGGUUGGGGAUGGGCUCGCGGCCGAUCAGUUUGUUGGUGAGGUAAUGGCUCACCAAGGCGUCGACGGGUAGCCGGCCUGAGAGGGUGACCGGCCACACUGGGACUGAGACACGGCCCAGACUCCUACGGGAGGCAGCAGUGGGGAAUAUUGCACAAUGGGCGAAAGCCUGAUGCAGCAACGCCGCGUGAGGGAUGACGGCCUUCGGGUUGUAAACCUCUUUUAGCAGGGAAGAAGCGAAAGUGACGGUACCUGCAGAAAAAGCGCCGGCUAACUACGUGCCAGCCGCCGCCGUAA